rnacentral:rRNA from 1 species
CCCUUAGAUGUCCUGGGCCGCACGCGCGCUACGCUGAGUGGAUCAGCGGGUCAGGUUGCGCGAAAGCGUUUCCUAAUCUUUAAAUCCGCUCGUGAUGGGGAUUGACGGUUGCAAUUUUCUGUCAUGAACGAGGAAUACCUUGUAAGCGCGGGUCAUCAUCCCGCGCUGAAUACGUCCCUGCCCUUUGUACACACCGCCCGUCGCUCCUACCGAUUGAGUGGUCCGGUGAGGCUUUGGGAUCUGAGCGGAAAGAGCGUUUCGCUGUCUCUGCUCGGAAAACUCAGUCGAACCUUAUCAUUUAGAGGAAGGGGAAGUCGUAACA